UACGUAGGGUGCGAGCGUUAAUCGGAAUUACUGGGCGUAAAGUGUGCGCAGGCGGCUUCGCAAGUCGAGUGUGAAAUCCCCGAGCUUAACUUGGGAACUGCCGUUGAUACUAUCUGUCUUGAAUAUCGUGGAGGUAAGCGGAAUAUGUCAUGUAGCGGUGAAAUGCUUAGAGAUGACAUAGAACACCAAUUGCGAAGGCAGCUUGCUACACGGUAAUUGACACUGAGGCACGAAAGCGUGGGGAGCAAACAGG
rnacentral:rRNA from 1 species